GCGGCCGUAGCUCAGUUGGUAGAGCGCUCGGUUGUGGUCCGAGUUGUCGCGGGUUCGAAUCCCGUCGGUCGCCCCA
rnacentral:tRNA from 2 species